rnacentral:rRNA from 1 species
GACGAACGCUGGCGGCGUGCCUAAUACAUGCAAGUUGAGCGCUGAAGGUUGGUACUUGUACCAACUGGAUGAGCAGCGAACGGGUGAGUAACGCGUGUGGAAUCUGCCUUUGAGCGGGGGACAACAUUUGGAAACGAAUGCUAAUACCGCAUAAAAACUUUAAACACAAGUUUUAAGUUUGAAAGAUGCAAUUUCAUCGCUCAAAGAUGAUCCCGCGUUGUAUUAGCUAGUUGGUGAGGUAAAGGCUCACCAAGGCGAUGAUACAUAGCCGACCUGAGAGGGUGAUCGGCCACAUUGGGACUGAGACACGGCCCAAACUGCUACGGGAGGCAGCAGUAGGGAAUCGUCGGCAAGGGACGAAAGUCUGACCGAGCAACGCCGCGUGAGUGAAGAAGGUUGUCGGAUCGUAAAACUCUGUUGGUAGAGAAGAAAGUGGGUGAGAGUGGAAAGCUCAUCAAGUGACGGUAACUACCCAGAAAGGGACGGCUAACUACGUG